rnacentral:rRNA from 1 species
GACGAACGCUGGCGGCGUGCCUAAUACAUGCAAGUCGAGCGAACAGAGAAGGAGCUUGCUCCUUCGACGUUAGCGGCGGACGGGUGAGUAACACGUGGGCAACCUACCUUAUAGUUUGGGAUAACUCCGGGAAACCGGGGCUAAUACCGAAUAAUCUGUUUCACCUCAUGGUGAAACACUGAAAGACGGUUUCGGCUGUCGCUAUAGGAUGGGCCCGCGGCGCAUUAGCUAGUUGGUGAGGUAACGGCUCACCAAGGCGACGAUGCGUAGCCGACCUGAGAGGGUGAUCGGCCACACUGGGACGGAGACACGGCCCAGACUCCUACGGGAGGCAGCAGUAGGGAAUCUUCCACAAUGGGCGAAAGCCUGAUGGAGCAACGCCGCGUGAGUGAAGAAGGAUUUCGGUUCGUAAAACUCUGUUGUAAGGGAAGAACAAGUACAGUAGUAACUGGCUGUACCUUGACGGUACCUUAUUAGAAAGCCACGGCUAACUACGUGCCAGCCGCCGCCGUAACAC